UGCAAAGAUGUUGGAGGAAGAUCAGUUAGAGCGGGAAGAAUGUGGGCAAAAAUCAGCUGGAUGCGUGGAAGCCGUUCCUCCUGUACAUACACAAGCAGACGCCGCAUCGAGCGGGCCGGCCCGUUGCUGUGACACAUCAACGCAGAGCCGCCAUAUUGCAUGUGGCAGAUGUGCGCUGUAAACGAAUCCAAGUCAAUGGACUGAACUUCAUGAAGCGCCUUUCUACAAACUUCUAUGCAGAGUCGUGUUGCCCAGGCUGCCCCUGAACACAUCCUAAAGCCUUCAGCCUGCAGCAGUCACAAGGAG